GACGAACGCUGGCGGCGUGCCUAAUACAUGCCAGUAGAACGCUGAAGGAGGAGCUUGCUUCUCUGGAUGAGUUGCGAACGGGUGAGUAACGCGUAGGUAACCUGCCUGGUAGCGGGGGAUAGCUAUUGGAAACGAUAGCUAAUACCGCAUAAGAGUAGAUGUUGCAUGACAUUUGCUUAAAAGUUGCAAUUGCAUCACUACCAGAUGGACCUGCGUUGUAUUAGCUAGUUGGUGGGGUAACGGCUUACCAAGGCGACGAUACAUAGCCGACCUGAGAGGGUGAUAGGCCACACUGGGACUGAGACACGGCCCAGACGACUACGGGAGGCAGCAGUAGGGAAUCUUCGGCAAUGGACGGAAGUCUGACCGAGCAACGCCGAGUGAGUGAAGAAGGGUUUCGGAUCGUAAAGAUCUGUUGUAAGAGAAGAAAGAGUGUGAGAGUGGAAAGUUCACACUGUGACGGUAUCUUAACAGAAAGGGACGGCUAACUACGUG
rnacentral:rRNA from 1 species